rnacentral:rRNA from 1 species
AGUGAACGCUGGCGGUAGGCCUAACACAUGCAAGUCGAACGGCAGCACAGUAAGAGCUUGCUCUUACGGGUGGCGAGUGGCGGACGGGUGCGGAAUACAUCGGAAUCUACUUUUUCGUGGGGGAUAACGUAGGGAAACUUACGCUAAUACCGCAUACGACCUACGGGUGAAAGCAGGGGAUCUUCGGACCUUGCGCGAUUGAAUGAGCCGAUGUCGGAUUAGCUAGUUGGCGGGGUAAAGGCCCACCAAGGCGACGAUCCGUAGCUGGUCUGAGAGGAUGAUCAGUCACACUGGAACUGAGACACGGUCCAGACUCCUACGGGAGGCAGCAGUGGGGAAUAUUGGACAAUGGGCGCAAGCCUGAUCCAGCCAUACCGCGUGGGUGAAGAAGGCCUUCGGGUUGUAAAGCCCUUUUGUUUGGAAAGAAAAGCAGCAGGUUAAUACCCCGCUGUUCUGACGGUACCAAAAGAAUAAGCACCGGCUAACUUCGUG